rnacentral:rRNA from 1 species
CCUACGGGAGGCAGCAGUAGGGAAUCUUCCACAAUGGGCGAAAGCCUGAUGGAGCAACGCCGCGUGGGUGAAGACGGUCUUCUGAUCGUAAAACCCUGUUGUUAGAGGAGAAAGUGCGUGAGAGUAACUGUUCACGUUUCGACGGUAUCUAACAGGAACGCCACGGCUAACUACGUCCCAGCAGCCGCGGUAAUACGUAGGUGGCAAGCGUUGUCCGGUUUUAUUGGGCGUAAAGGGAACGCAGGCGGUCUUUUAAGUCUGAUGUGAAAGCCUUCGGCUUAACCGGAGUAGUGCAUUGGAAACUGGGAGACUUGAGUGCAGAAGAGGAGAGUGGAACUCCAUGUGUAGCGGUGAAAUGCGUAGAUAUAUGGAAGAACACCAGUGGCGAAAGCGGCUCUCUGGUCUGUAACUGACGCUGAGGUUCGAAAGCGUGGGUAGCAAACAGGAUUAGAUACCCGAGUAGUC